CGGUUCGGCCGGGAUUUGAACCCGGGAACUCUCGCACCCUAAGCGAGAAUCAUACCCCUAGACCACCGAACC
rnacentral:tRNA from 13 species